CGCCUGGGGAGUACGGGUGAGGUAACGGCUCACCAAGGCAUCGACGGGUAGCUGGUCUGAGAGGAUGAUCAGCCACACUGGGACUGAGACACGGCCCAGACUCCUACGGGAGGCAGCAGUGGGGAAUAUUGCACAAUGGGCGAAAGCCUGAUGCAGCAACGCCGCGUGCGGGAUGAAGGCCCUAGGGUUGUAAACCGCUUUCAGCAGGGAAGAAAAUGACGGUACCUGUAGAAGAAGGUGCGGCCAACUACGUGCCAGCAGCCGCGGUGACACGUAGGCACCAAGCGUUGUCCGGAAUUAUUGGGCGUAAAGAGCUCGUAGGCGGUUUGUCGCGUCUGCUGUGAAAAUCCGAGGCUCAACCUCGGACCUGCAGUGGGUACGGGCAAACUAGAGUGCGGUAGGGGAGAUUGGAAUUCCUGGUGUAGCGGUGGAAUGCGCAGAUAUCAGGAGGAACACCAAUGGCGAAGGCAGAUCUCUGGGCCGUAACUGACGCUGAGGAGCGAAAGCGUGGGGAGCGAACAGGAUUAGAUACCCUGGUAGUCCACGCCGUAAACGGUGGGAACUAGAUGUGGGGUCCGUUCCACGGAUUCCGUGCCGCAGCUAACGCAUUAAGUUCCCCGCCUGGGGAGUACGG
rnacentral:rRNA from 1 species